UAUGAAUAUUAUGUGUUUGUUUGUUUAUUAUAUAAACAAAUAAAAUAAACUAAUGUAAUCCUAAUUAUAUAUUAAGAAUGAAUGAUUGAAUAACUUAAGAGUUAUGAGUUGGGGGAAAUAAUAGUAUUUAGAUAUAUACUAACUCUAAGAGAUUUAUUUUAUACAUCUCAGUUAAUUAAUUUUAUAACCUAAUUUUAGCAAGUCUAAUUGGGUUAAGGAAAUAAAUGUGCAUGAGUAAGGAUUUAAGUUAUAAUUGAGGAAAAUGAAAACCCUAAUUUAAUGAUUUGGGUUGGAAAAGAAUUAAUAGUAUUGGACUAUGUUAAUUUACAUGGCCCAAAGAAUUAAAUUUUAAGUCCAAUAUAUUAUUUAUUGAUAGCCCAAAAGAUGGAAAUGGUGGCCCAAAUUUAAGCCCAAUUAAGGAGGGACAUAUUGGACAUUUGGUAUGCUAAAUAAGAAUUAAAAAAAAAUAAUCAAUUAUUGAUAUGGAAAUGUCCAUUUUACCCUUUUUGUCCCAUUUUGGUGAAUUAUUUCCUAGAGAAUCCUAUGAGCAAUAAUUUAGUUGGUUGAUUGAGUGGUGACUCUAUAUCUCUAGCAAUAAUCAACCCUCAAUCAAUUGCAAUCAAUUUUAUAGAGAUUAGAAAGAGAAAGUUCAUCCAUGGAAGAAGGAAGAAGGGAGAAGGAAGAAGAAGAAGAAGGAAGGCUUCAGAAAAAGGUAAAUCCUAAAAUUAGUUUAUGCAAUUGAUUUUAGUUUUCCAAAUCAAAGCUUGGAUUUAUGUUUCUAAACUCAAAAACCUUAGAUAUAUGUGUUAAUGAGUGUUUCAUGUUUAGAUAUAACCAUAUUGGGUGUUGAUUUGGUGGGAAUCAAAAGAAUAAGGAAAAAUAAUUUUCUAGUUUUGAAAAUCAAAAUUUCUAUAUACUUUGAAAUUUCACCGUUUUAAAUCUAAAAUUCCUUUUUGCGAUCCGUCAAAGAGGGGUGCUAGAUAUAUGUGUUUAGUAGUUAACCCAAGUGGUAGAACUCAAAAAUCACGUUUCUAAAAGUCGUGGUGUUGAUUUAUGUGAAAACAGUCCCGUUUCUAGGAACUGUUUUGGAUCAGUCCGUAGCAGGGGCAUUUUCGUCCCCUUUUUGUGCUUUAUAAAUUCUGGAAAAAUUUUGGGGUGUUAAUAUCAGUAGAUAUGCUGGUUGUGUAAAAAAUUGAGAAUUUUUGGCCAUACGGUUUGAGAGAUAUGGAUUUUACGGUGAAGGACCCCAAAACUGUUUUUUUUUGGCCAAAACGUUGCUGCCACAAAAAGGAAAUUUCGGGGUUAUCUAGCUUGCUCUAAAAAUUCUGAGCUUUUGGUAUGUUAUAGUACACUCAAUAAGCUUUCCAUAGACUCCGAAACGGACUAAAUCCGACAUCGGAGGAGAGAGUUAUGAAAUUUCUCCCAAACUACUCAAAGGUAAGAAAAACUGUUAGAGUAACAGUUUGUAACAGCCACUACCGAGCUAAUUUCUGGGAGCUUAACAUGUCCAAAUAUGGAUUGUGAUAGAUGAAAACAGUAGUUCGGAAAGAUACGAAUCCAAAAAAAUUGACGGAUCAUUAAUCGGAGUUAUAGAUUUCAUUUUAUUUAAGUUUUGGUAAAGUACUCCAAAACUGCAUAUGUGCAAAAGUAAACUGCCAAAUAUUUUCCGGAGGCUGUUUCGGUAAUUUAUUUUAUAAGAAAAAUUCCGGGCUUUCGGGAAAUAAAAAUAUGUGGUAUUAUGUAGCUCGUGUCCAAAAAUGAGCUAAUUCCGAGUUAAAAC
rnacentral:lncRNA from 1 species